UUUUGAGAUCAGUGAGGAUGACCACCCAUGAACGGUGAACCAUAGCCAUGCGCCCGCGAUUAUUAAUGAACUUGCGAAACAAAAUGCAAAGCGCAAUCAAUUACCCGUAAAACCAAUUCAAUCCCUACCAUCUAUUUUAUGAAUGACGCUCCACUAGCAUCAACGUGAUCUUGGUGUCUGGAUAUCUUCCGAUUUGACAUUGAACAAGCAUGUUAACGAACAGUGUAGGUAAGCAAAUAAAAUUCUUAGCUAUACAGCAGACGAAACACACGAACAAUUAAUAACACUAAAACAAGAAGAACCAUUUACUUGUCACUGGUACGAUCACAUUUUGGUUACGCGAUUGUGACGAUUUCUAUCGCCGACGUCUGGACACCUCAAUCUAUUGAACUUCUGCUCAAACUAGAAAAACCUCAAAGACGUGCAACAAAAUAUAUUCUUAAUCUUCCAUUUAUCAGUUCAGUAAAUUACAAAUCCAGAUUGCAAACUCUCCAUCUACUGCCCAUACUUUGCCGAUAUGAAUACCUUGAUGUGAUUCAUUUCUUUAAAGUAAUUCAUGGCAUUACCAGCUCGUCCUUUGCCUUGAACGCCAAGACAACAAGACAUAUAUAGCCUACAAGAUCGUCCACCAACACGAAAGGUGUAAAGUACGAAGUCCCGCGGUGCAAAACAACAACCUACCAAAGAUCAUUUUGGAUAAGAACUAUCAGAACAUGGAACAAAUUGACGGACAUACUUGACUUGAGUAUGGAGUACUUCAACAUGUUCAAGUCUGUAAUGUAAGAGUACUACCAUACUGCAUUAAAGAACAUAUACGAUUGUGGUGAUGUGCACGAACUUUUAAAACAAUUUGCCUGAGAUGCAAUAGAGCAGGGACUUUAACGAACUCGAUGAACUGUUGCAUGUUUUUAGUCUCCAUGGUUUAAUUGUUAUUUGUGUUAUUGAUAUUUGUCUCUUAACAUUUUGGGCCCUCAGUAAUUGGUUUCAGGCUGUUGCGGAUACCCAACUAUCAACUCAGUUAGUCAGUUUAUGUCAUUGUAUUAUGUAUUAUAUGUAUGCGUGUGUAUGUGUGUGUAUGUUUAUGGAAUCUGAUGGAAUAGC